GUGAGGCUGAAAGGCGUAAUCGAUGGGAAUCAGGUUAAUAUUCCUGAACCUGGAGGAAUGUGACGGAUUCAGUAAAUUGUAUAUUCUUAUUGGAUUGAAUAUGCAGUGAAUGGGUCCCAGGAAAUAGCACCUCCAUAUAGACCGUACCCCAAACCGACACAGGUGGACAGGUAGAGUAUACCAAGGCGCUUGAGAGAACGAUGCUGAAGGAACUAGGCAAAUUGCAUCUGUAACUUCGGAAGAAAGAUGACCAAUGGUAGGGCAACCUAUUAUUGGUGGCACAAACUAGGGGGUAGCGACUGUUUAUUAAAAACACAGGGCUCUGCAAAGUCAAUAGACGAAGUAUAGGGUCUGACGCCUGCCCAGUGCUGGAAGAUUAAAAGGAGGGGUGCAAGCUCUGAAUUGAAGUCCCAGUGAACGGCGGCCGUAACUAUGACGGUCCUAAGGUAGCGAAAUUCCUUGUCGGGUAAGUUCCGACCCGCACGAAUGGCGUAACGACUUCCCCACUGUCUCCAGUAUCGACUCAGCGAAAUUGAAUUCUCGGUUAAGAUGCCGAGUUCCCGCGGUUAGACGGAAAGACCCCGUGCACCUUUACUAUAGCUUUACACUGGUAUUAGGGAUCAAAUGUGCAGAAUAGGUGGGAGACUAUGAAGCGGUUGCGCUAGCAGCUGUGGAGUCAUAAUGUGAGAUACCACCCUUUUGAUUCUUGAUAUCUAACCACAAUCCUUGAAUCAGGAUUUGGGACAAUGUAUGGUGGGUAGUUUGACUGGGGCGGUCGCCUCCCAAAGAGUAACGGAGGCGCGCGAUGGUUAGCUCAAGUUGGUCAGAAAUCAACUGUUAGAGUGCAAUGGCAUAAGCUAGCCUGACUGCGAGUCUGACAAGACGAGCAGAGACGAAAGUCGGUCAUAGUGAUCCGGUGGUCCCGCGUGGAAGGGCCAUCGCUCAACGGAUAAAAGGUACGCCGGGGAUAACAGGCUGAUGAUUUCCAAGAGUCCAUAUCGACGAAAUCGUUUGGCACCUCGAUGUCGGAUCAUCACAUCCUGGGUCUGGAGAAGGUCCCAAGGGUAUGGCUGUUCGCCAUUUAAAGUGGUACGUGAUCUGGGUUUAGAACGUCGUGAGACAGUUCGGUUCCUAUCUGCCGUGGGUGUAGGAAGUUUGAGAGGAUCUGCCUUUAGUACGAGAGGACCGAGGUGGACGUACCUCUGGUGGACCAGUUGUCGCGCCAGCGGCAUAGCUGGGUAGCUAAGUACGGAAGGGAUAACCGCUGAAUGCAUCUAAGCGGGAAGCCCACCUCAAAACUAGACUUCCCUAUCAGAGCCGUGGAAGACCACCACGUUGAUAGGCCAGGUGUGGAAGCAUGGUAACAUGUGAAGCUAACUGGUACUAAUAGCUCGAUUGUCCA
rnacentral:rRNA from 1 species